rnacentral:rRNA from 1 species
AUUGUACUGAGAGUGAAGAUACUCUCUACCCGCGGCAAGACGGAAAGACCCCGUGAACCUUUACUGCAACUUGGCAGUGAGGCUCGGGACAGUCUGCGUAGGAUAGGUGGGAGACUUAGAAGGCGGGAUUCCGGUCUCGUUGGAGUCACCCUUGAAAUACCACCCUGGCUGUUCUGGGCUUCUAACCUAGGUCCGUAAUCCGGAUCAGGGACACUGUCUGGUGGGCAGUUUGACUGGGGCGGUCGCCUCCCAAAAAGUAACGGAGGCGCGCGAUGGUUCCCUCAGGCUGAUUGGAAACCAGCCGUAGAGUGCAAAGGCAUAAGGGAGCUUGACUGUGAGAGCGACAGCUCGAGCAGGUGCGAAAGCAGGCCUUAGUGAUCCGGUGACUCCAUGUGGAAGGGUCAUCGCUCAACGGAUAAAAGGUACUCCGGGGAUAACAGGCUGAUCGCGCCUGAGAGUUCAUAUCGGCGGCGCGGUUUGGCACCUCGAUGUCGGCUCAUCCCAUCCUGGGGCUGGAGCAGGUCCCAAGGGUUUGGCUGUUCGCCAAUUAAAGGGGUACGCGAGCUGGGUUUAGAACGUCGUGAGACAGUUCGGUCCCUAUCUGCCGUGGGCGUAGGACGCUUGAGAGGAUCUAACCAUAGUACGAGAGGACCUGGUUGGACGUACCUCUAGUGUUCCGGUUGUUCUGCCAAGAGCAUCGCCGGGUAGCUAUGUACGGAACGGAUAACCGCUGAAAGCAUCUAAGCGGGAAGCCGGCCUCGAGAUGAGGCGUCCCGGGCCGCAAGGCCCCUAAAGGCCCCUUGAAGACUACAAGGUAAUAGGCCGGGUGUGGAAGUGCAGCAAUGCAUGGAGCUAACCGGUACUAAUCGGCCGUGAGGCUUGACCUA